UUCUCUUUUAAAGAAGUCAUGAGGGAUCCAAUGCUUGAUGGCAACGCAGCCCUUCAUUGAAAAUUCAAGGGCCUCAUUGUUUCCCUGCAACAGGAAGACAACUUGGAAAGGAUUCUCUAGACACUGAGCCCAUUGUAGGAAGCUGUGCGACCCAAAGAUUUUCAUGAGCAUGAACUUGCCCUUUGAGAUCAAAGCCGAUUGUCUUCUGAGAGGUGUCCAGUGGGCCAUCCUCUGAAAAGUGACCCACUGUUCAGCACAGCUCUUUCCAGGACACUGAAUUGGAGCCAGCUGGUGCCUGGAACGUACCUUGUAUGUCACUUUCUGAUCUCUGAAGGCCAACUGUAUGUGAUUAAGCCUAACAGACACAGAGCUUGUGUUAAGCCCAGGAUGUCGCUUGGUGCUCUUGCAAAUCCUGUUCCUCAUACUCUGUCUUGGUGGCAAGUGGGUUCAAUAGAUGACUUCCCUGCGGUGAGAGGCUAAGAGAGUGGGAGGAAUGUCAUUUUUCAGUCGACAGAAAUAAGAGAGAUCGCCCUGGCUACCAUGUUGAGACUAGCUUGCCAUGGAUAAGAGAAGAAUCAAGAAGACCAGGUAAGAAGCAAUCGAGGUGCUUCUGGUGUAAGGUGCUUAGCUGGGGUGGCAGCAGAGAAAGGGGUGGGAGUGGUCAGGCUGAGUCCACUCUGGCACAUGGCACUGACGGAGCUUGCUGAUGGUGGGAGGUGGGUGUGAGGGGAAGAGAGGAGACAAAGAUGAAGUCAUCCAAGGACUAGUGGGCUGAGCAAUGGGAAGGGUGGAGUUGCCAUCCACUGAGUUUGUAUUUCUCUGUUUCUGGAACUCAGUGGUAAACUUCUGGCAGACAGGAACCAGCGUCUUGUGUGUUCUGUAACCUUCAUACAAACAUGAUCAAAAUUAUGCCAAAUGUAAAAUGAAGUUUAAAGUUCCCCUUAUAGGUCUUUUCUGGCCCACAGAGGGGUCUCAACGUUGACCUUGGGGCCAGCCAACCAAUGAUCGCUCUCCUUUCCAUGCUGUGUGGAACCCACUUGCUCCCCUGGUGGUGACUUUUGGGUGGCUACGGGGGUAGGUUUCUGCCUAUCUAGUCAAACUAUUAUUUAACCCUUCAUAUGGGUCCAGGUACUUUCCCGAACAGGAGAAUUUCUAGAGAGAGGGAUGGAGGCGGAGGGUGGGAAAUCAGCUUUCAUCCCCUUUAACCAUCUUGUUCUCUUCUUGCUGCAAGACUCCAACAAGGUGAACUUGACCCAGAGGAUACAAGGAAAACAUUUUGAAGCUUUUUAUAGGGCCAGUUCAGUAAUGUAAAUGUCUGCUUCUGGCCAGGUAUAAACAACAGGGAGUAAUUGGUACCGAUGCAGCAAACCAGAGUCCCAGACAAUUGCUGCUGUGUAGAACUGGAGGUGCAAUAAACCAGGCAUGUGUGUGAGCCUAUUGCAGCCCAGGAACCCCUCCUUCCCCAGCCCUGGCCUGAGCAUCAGAGAAGUCCCUUUAAGACCUUCCCUUUCUUGUCAUUGUCCUGUUCUUCCCAGAGUCCUCUCUUAGACCCAUUCAUUGUUGGUGCUCCUUAUACACCAUCCUGCAUUAUUUCCACAUUCUUACACCCCCUUAAGAAGUACCUGGGUCCUAGAUACUUUCAAGCCUCUAUGUCUUGCCAACUGUUUCUGUAAGUGCUGCAGGUGUUUGUCUAUUGCUAUAAAGUGCAUACCGUAAGUUAAAGAUACUUUAUUGCUACAAAAUGUUAACCAUCUGAGCCUUCAGCAAGUUACAGUAGUAAUAUCAAUGAUCGCUGAUCACAGAUCACCUUAGCAAAUAUAAUAAUAAUGAAAAAGUUUGAGAAUUACCGAAAUGUAACACAGAGACACCUAGCGAGCCACUGCUGUAGGAAAAAAUGGCACUAAUAAACUCGCUGGAUGCCACAGCGUUGCCAUAAACCUUCAAUUUAUAAAAUUCAAUAUCAUCAAAGUGUAAUAAAAUGAGGUAUGCCUGUAUUUCAACAGUGCUUCUCCUUUAGGGUCUUUCCUUGUAAAUUACUGAAACCUCUAGGGGUUCAACCCAAAGGUUCUCACUUAGAUUAUUUACAUAAAGAUGUUCAUAAUCCCAUGGAAUAACAAAUCUUUAUUACAAAAUUGAGUUUCGUGUUUAGGAAUCUUUGGAGAAGGAAGUUUAAAUACCAAGAAAGAUAUAUUAAGAAAUAAAUUGUGGGAAGAUCGAGGGAAAUUGAGGGGAAAAAAAAUCCACUGAUGAGCAUAUUUCAAAAGAGCUUUGACCUACUGGUAGCUCAUCUCUGCACAGCCUGUUCCCAUAUCCCUUCCUACAUGAGCGCCUCCUCCAGGAAGUGGGGCUGUUUGUUAUCAAGCACGUCCGUGUGUUCUUUCUCAGUAAACCAAAAGAUUUCCAAUUUAUCGGAGGGAUUUCAACUCUAGCAAAAGGUUCAGUGUCCCCAAAGCUAUUCAAUACUCUUCAUUAUUCUUAUAACAAUCAGUAGAACACCCUAAUUUAUGUUUAUUUUUUUCCAAAGAUAAAAAUUGGAGCAAUUGGAGGAGGGGGAGAGAUUCAUGGACACAAAUGGCUUGAUCUUUUCACCUGUUUCACCGGCUCUUUUUUUGAAUGUUAACUUAAUUUUAUACAUCUAGGUAUUCCCACUUCACCCAUUUUGUGGGUGCUUCAGGUGGCCCAAAUAGGAAGGGCCUAUUUAUCGAUUUUUUCUUCUGUGAAUGUGGCCACUGUCCUCUUAGCCUGUGAACAUAAGGUCUGCCGUCCUCUUGCUCUUACUGGUGGGGCAUGGGGGGGGGUUGCACCCUGAAGAGGCAAAAAUCAUUUCAAAUCCCCUGAAGACCAAAAUAUCAAGAAUUAGAGGGCAAUGUAAUGGCUGGGAGAGGGAAGAAAGGACAGAAGCAAAUAGUUGACAGGUCUCUAAAACUUUAAUUUUCAGCCCAAAGAAUUUCUUGAAAGGCACCUUUGAGGGGGAGGGCUCAUUGAUUUUCUUUUCUUUUUUUUUGACUUUUUAGGGCCGCACAUGUGGUAUAUGGAAGUUCCCAGACUAGGGGUGGAAUCAGAACUGUAGCUGCUUGCCUACAACCACAGUCAAGCAAUGCCAGAUCCAAACUGUGUCUGUGACCUGCACAGCAAUUCACAGCAACACUGGAUCCUUAACCCACUGAGCGAGGCCAGGGAUCAAACCCACAUCCUCAUGGAUCC
rnacentral:lncRNA from 1 species